UAGAGCGUUAUCUGAGAAGCGAAAGCUUAUCAAAUGCUUCCUUUCGAAUUCAUUUUACAAACGUCUUGGUCCAUGGAAGAAAAGGGCUAGAGUUGGUCAUGCUUCUUGCGAGGUCAUCUACAUUGUUGCCACUGAGCAGUCUUCGUUUGACGAAACACCCGGAGAAGAAUUCAUCGGUAUAAGUGCGGGAUAUUUAAGUAACUUCGAGAGUAAGAAUAAAAGAGGGGAGCUGCACAACUUCAUUAUUCAAGGCAACUUAGGAAGUUAGCACUAGACUGAGAGGCUACAAAUACUGACCAUGACACUGCUAAAAUGAGAAGUACCGCUCUCUAAAUCUGUGACGAUGCUACUUUCUUUCUUCACCUCUUAGUCUUGUUAGCGUCCAAGCAUUAAUAGACCAUGUGCAGUUUAUGUAAUUAUGUCACCAAAACCGUGAAGCUUGUAACUUUUUAUGUAAACUAUUUGAAA